rnacentral:rRNA from 1 species
UACAGAGGGUGCGAGCGUUAAUCGGAAUUACUGGGCGUAAAGCGUGCGUAGACGGUAGCGUAAGUCAGAUGUGAAAGCCCCGGGCUCAACCUGGGAAUUGCAUUUGAGACUGCUCUGCUCGGGUGCGGAAGAGGGAAGCGGAAUUUCCGGUGUAGCGGUGAAAUGCGUAGAUAUCGGGAGGAACACCUGUGGCGAAAGCGGCUCACUGGACCGCAACUGACGCUGAGGCGCGAAAGCUAGGGGAGCAAACAGG